rnacentral:rRNA from 1 species
CUGGCGGCGUGCCUAACACAUGCAAGUCGAACGGAACUGCUUCGAAGGAGUUUCUUCGGAAUGACAUUGAUUCAGUUUAGUGGCGGACGGGUGAGUAACGCGUGAGUAACCUGCCUUCAAGAGGGGGAUAACAUUCUGAAAAGAAUGCUAAUACCGCAUGACAUAUGAUUGUCGCAUGGCAGACAUAUCAAAGAUUUAUCGCUUGAAGAUGGACUCGCGUCCGAUUAGUUAGUUGGUGAGGUAACGGCCCACCAAGACCGCGAUCGGUAGCCGGACUGAGAGGUUGAACGGCCACAUUGGGACUGAGACACGGCCCAGACUCCUACGGGAGGCAGCAGUGGGGAAUAUUGCACAAUGGAGGAAACUCUGAUGCAGCGACGCCGCGUGAGCGAUGAAGUAUUUCGGUAUGUAAAGCUCUAUCAGCAGGGAAGAUAAUGACGGUACCUGACUAAGAAGCUCCGGCUAAAUACGUG